rnacentral:rRNA from 1 species
CUAUGUGUUGUUGGGUAGGGGAGCGUUCUGUAAGCCUGCGAAGGUGACCUGUGAGGGUUGCUGGAGGUAUCAGAAGUGCGAAUGCUGACAUAAGUAACGAUAAAGCGGGUGAAAAGCCCGCUCGCCGGAAGACCAAGGGUUCCUGUCCAACGUUAAUCGGGGCAGGGUGAGUCGACCCCUAAGGCGAGGCCGAAAGGCGUAGUCGAUGGGAAACAGGUUAAUAUUCCUGUACUUGGUGUUACUGCGAAGGGGGGACGGAGAAGGCUAUGUUAGCCGGGCGACGGUUGUCCCGGUUUAAGCAUGUAGGCGGAGGUUCCAGGUAAAUCCGGUACCUUUUAACGCUGAGGUGUGAUGACGAGGCACUACGGUGCUGAAGUAACAAAUGCCCUGCUUCCAGGAAAAG